rnacentral:sRNA from 1 species
UGGAACCUGAUAAUGAUGCAUUUUUUGAAGCAUGUCCUGGAAGCAAAGAUUUAAGCGAAUUCUUGGAUUUGCAGCAUUUUCGCAUGGAAUCACUGGGUGAAAAGAUUAAAGUGAGUGGUAAUAUGACUCACCACCUAAAAGGGGUUAAGCCUACGGAUAGCAUUCAUCUGCAUAUUGAAAUUUUUAAAUUUGGUCGCGGUGCAAUUUGAUUCCACCAGUCCUUGGUUUCAGGUGUUCUAUAAGAAUGUGCAAGUGAAUGAUCGCAAAUGCAUCAAUAAUUAUGGGCAAAUUUAUCGCUUCCAGCCUUUUGAUUUCGAUGCAGUUUUUAAUUUGUCAACAACAAGAAUGGAGGGACGUUACAAAAUAGAAGCAAGGAUUUCGGCAUUUGAGAAUGGCAUAGUAAAGCUGCCCUUUUAUAUGUGUUUGCAAAUUAUUGGAGAUCUAUAUCGAAAGCUUUAAGCCGAGUGUAUCACUUUGCCGCCUGGCUGAAGUCAAUAUGAAGUCAAGUAGAAAGUCUUGCGAAAGGAGA